GACGAACGCUGGCGGCGUGCUUAACACAUGCAAGUCGAACGAAGUGGCGAACGGGUGAGUAACGCGUAAUCAACCUGCCCUUCAGAGGGGGACAACAGUUGGAAACGACUGCUAAUACCGCAUACUGAAGGAGGGAAGUGCGUCGGAUGAGCUAGUUGGAGGGGUUACGGCCCACCAAGGCGAUGAUCAGUAGCCGGGCUGGGAGGAUGAACGGCCACAUUGGGAAUGAGACACGGCCCAGACCCCUACGGGAGGUAGGAGUGGGGGAACUUCCGCAAUUGACGGAAGUCUGACGGAGCAACUCCGCGUGAGUGAUGACGGCCUUCGGGUUGUAAAGCUCUGUUAAUCGGGGCGCGGUACCGGAAUAGAAAGCCACGGCUAACUACGUGCCAGCAGCCGCGGUAAUAC
rnacentral:rRNA from 1 species